GCCACGGCAAACUGGAAAUUGAGACCUUUAGUCAUAUACUGAGGUGUUGGUUGAAACCCACCAGAAUAAACAUAUACCUGGAUAGCCCAUGGAAUGCUUGAGUGAGUUACAAUUGUCAACAGCCUUUGUGAGAUUUAUGAAUACAAAAUCAGCACCCGUUGUUGUCAAACACUAGUCUUUUGCCUAGCUGAUCACGACGACGAGUUGUUCCCGAAACGUUCCGCCAUCGUGUGGAUGUGCCCUACAAGACACCUACUCAGGUGCCUAGCUGGCAUAAACCCCCAAGGCAGAACCAAGACUGGGCGGAAGACAGGAGUUCAUACAGGUGUAUUGAAGCUUGCAAAUGACCUGAAGGCGUUUGAAAAUGAAAGGCAUUUGUAAUGGGCAACCUGCACAGCCUAGUUGGCAUGGCCAAGUAACCGUAACAAAUGACUUCU